GUAUCGGCGUCACCCUGGUCUGCAGUGACAGAAUUAAUUUGCGCUAGCUCUACAUUGAAGUCUACCAGCACAUCCAUCGCAGUAGGUGACGACUGCUGAAGAUGCUUUCUUCACUGCUUGCUUUGGUUGGCCUCGUUCUGUUGCAGACCCUGCCAACUGCCGAAGCAACGUUCGAUUUGAUGUUCGUGUUCAAGAUUGCGUGGGACUUUUUUCUCAGAGUGAUGGGAGAGUUCAGCAUCGGCAAUGAUACCAUCAAACCACCAGUAGCACAGUUAUCAGAGAACGUGAAGUCCAUUGACGGAAAAGCAAUGACUGGUGUAGUUUCGACUGAUGUCGAUCAAGAAGAUACUCCAUUGUCUGCGUAUCUAAAACUUAUGCUCAUAUUGAAACAUAAAUAAAAACUCUUAAAGAUA